AGUCGAGCGAGAGGUUUGUGAAGGAUCCUUCGGGUGACUGAUCAGAUGGAAAGCGGCAAACGGGGUAGUAAUGCGUAGGUUACGUGCCCUCAGGUCGGGAAUAGCUACGGGAAACUGUAGGUAAUGCCCGAUAAUAUCUCCGGAUCAAAGGUGUGAUUCCGCCUGAGGAGCGGCUUAUGUGGUACUAGGUUGUUGGUGGGGUAAUGGCCCACCAAGCCUAAGAUGCCUAGGGGGUGUGAGAGCAUGGCCCCCACCACUGGGACUGAGACACUGCCCAGACGUCUACGGACGGCUGCAGUCGAGAAUCUUCCGCAAUGGACGGAAGUCUGACGGAGCGACGCCGCGUGCGGGAUGAAGGCCCUUGGGUUGUAAACCGCUGUCAGAGGGGAUGAAAUCGUUGGGGUUAUCCCCCUUCGUUGACAAAGCCUCAGAGGAAGGGCGGGCUAAGUUCGUGCCAGCAGCCGCGGUAAUACGAACUGCCCGAACGUUAUUCGGAAUCACUGGGCUUAAAGGGUACGUAGGCGGUCUAAUAAGUCAGGUGUGAAAUCUCUCGGCUCAACCGAGAAACUGCGCUUGAAACUAUUAGGCUUGAGUAAGAUAGGGGUGAGCGGAACUGCUGGUGGGGCGGUGAAAUGUGUUGAGAUCAGCAGGAACGCCGGUGGCGAAAGCGGCUCACUGGGUCUUUACUGACGCUCAUGUACGAAAGCCAGGGGAGCGAACGGGAUUAGAUACCCCGGUAGUCCUGGCUGUAAACGUUGGGCACUAGACGGGAGGGGCUACGGCCUUUCCCGUCGUAGCGAAAGCAUUAAGUGCCCCGCCUGGGGAGUAUGGUCGCAAGGCU
rnacentral:rRNA from 1 species